rnacentral:pre_miRNA from 1 species
UGUGCACCAGUGGGGUCCCUCGGCCUGGCCUGCGCCCGCGCCCUCUUCAAUCCGGGACCCCUUGGGGGAUGUUGGAGAGCCCAUUUUGGCCUGAUCCUGCAGGCCAGGCCGAGGGACCCCACUGGUGCACU